UCGCUUCCUUUUUCGCCAUAGGAGCAUCUAUAAUUGCCGAUCUAGCUCGAAUUGCGUUCGAUGGAGAAUUGGAUGAAUAUAGAGGUAUGAAGCGCUUGGAAGUCUAAAUGAGAAGGUGACAUCGAAUUGAGGAGUUGGUCUUUUUACACAGAAACGAAGAGUGAAUGAUGGUGAUGCGAAUGGAGAUCUAGAGAACUAAGGAGUUGUUACCCUUUUCGGUACACCAGUCAAAGCGUCCAUGAAAUUAAAGAACAUGAAUUGGAGGGGACGUCCUCUAUGCUUGAUAGGUUUGAUAUGUCAGAUGCAGAAAUGCUUGAUGCACACUUGGAGUUUGCAGGUUUAGCCCCUGCAGAAUACCAUCUAAAUGUUCAUCAGGCAUCUAAAAGGAUCUUCUUAGAUUUCUGAUGGUGACUCUCACAAUGUAAUUUUACUGCUGGCUCCUCUUCUUUUACUGAUUGAGCAUUCUUUUACUGACUGAGUGUGCCCUACAAGGAGAGAUUUAGUGGAUACUGAAAUAUAGACUAUAGGCGGAAAGUUUCUCACAUUUUGUAUUGCUUGAAGUUUAAUUAAUCUUCUUCUCAUUACAGAAGGGCAUUUCGUCACAUCAUUCUGAUUAAUCAAGUUCGCUGGUGGGAGUUGAACUUUUGAAUAGGAUAUAUCUUGAGCUAUGCUGUGUACUUGUACGACAAUCUGGUCGAGAGGGACGGAGGGAGCAAUUGUAGAAAGCAAAGAGACUAGGAGGGUAAAUGUAUAACAUCAUUAUGUUGGCGUCCUGAUGACAAGGUUGUUGUCUUGGGACUUGAAGACUAAACGAUUUUACUGCAUGAUGUCGAAAAUGGAAAACUGUUAAGAAGCUUGAAGUCCCAUAUGGCAGCUGUGGUGUCUCAACUGGGAGGAGGAUACCUAACUGAAUAGAAACACUUCUGGUAACUUUUUGGCUUUUGAAGAUCGCACUACUCGAUUCUUCCCUCCAGCUCCAAAAGUUCCUCACAUGCCUGGACUAGUACCCGGAGAUGCUGGUUUAACAGACGAUGGUCAAGAUUCAUUUGUAGAGCUCUCAAAUUCUUCAGAGCAAUGUUUCAAUAUCCUUUGCAGUGGAGAUAAAGAUGGGGUUUUGUGCUUCAGUAUAUUUGGUGUCUUUCUAAUCAGAAAUAUUGUAAGCGUCCUGUCUGUUCAAAUCAAAUAGUUGGCAGUAUGAUCUAUUAGAUUGAGUCGAUGAGUCAUUUCCCUGUUCUUGCUUCUCAUUCAGCAGUUUUUCUUAAUAAAUGGAUUUGAUGGCAGACUGGCAGUAAAUCAGUAUUGCCCAGGAAGUAAUGGGCUGGUUAAGUAAACAAUUAUACUAGGUGAUGUUAUGCUUGUAAAAGUUCUAGACGUUUAUGCCAAUUCCCAGGCCAGAUUUCACUUCUGUUGGUCACUUCCGAGAUGACACCCUUCCAAUUUCGAUAUAGAACAAUUAUCUGAA